AUUGAACGCUGGCGGCAUGCCUUACACAUGCAAGUCGAACGGUAACAGGUCUUCGGAUGCUGACGAGUGGCGAACGGGUGAGUAAUACAUCGGAACGUGCCUAGUAGUGGGGGAUAACUACUCGAAAGAGUGGCUAAUACCGCAUGAGAUCUACGGAUGAAAGCAGGGGAUCGCAAGACCUUGUGCUACUAGAGCGGCCGAUGGCAGAUUAGGUAGUUGGUGGGAUAAGAGCUUACCAAGCCGACGAUCUGUAGCUGGUCUGAGAGGACGAUCAGCCACACUGGGACUGAGACACGGCCCAGACUCCUACGGGAGGCAGCAGUGGGGAAUUUUGGACAAUGGGCGCAAGCCUGAUCCAGCAAUGCCGCGUGCAGGAUGAAGGCCUUCGGGUUGUAAACUGCUUUUGUACGGAACGAAAAGCCCUGGGUUAAUACCCUGGGGUCAUGACGGUACCGUAAGAAUAAGCACCGGCUAACUACGUGCCAGCCGCCGCCGUAA
rnacentral:rRNA from 1 species